ACGCUGGCGGCGUGCUUUAACACAUGCAAGUCGAACGGAAAGGCCCAGCUUGCUGGGUACUCGAGUGGCGAACGGGUGAGUAACACGUGGGUGAUCUGCCCCAAACUUCGGGAUAAGCCUGGGAAACUGGGUCUAAUACCGGAUAUGACCUGCUCCUGCAUGGGGGUUGGUGGAAAGCUUUUGCGGUUUGGGAUGGGCCCGCGGCCUAUCAGCUUGUUGGUGGGGUAAUGGCCUACCAAGGCGACGACGGGUAGCCGACCUGAGAGGGUGAUCGGCCACACUGGGACUGAGACACGGCCCAGACUCCUACGGGAGGCAGCAGUGGGGAAUAUUGCACAAUGGGCGCAAGCCUGAUGCAGCGACGCCGCGUGAGGGAUGACGGCCUUCGGGUUGUAAACCUCUUUCGCCAGGGACGAAGCGCAAGUGACGGUACCUGGAGAAGAAGCACCGGCCAACUACGUG
rnacentral:rRNA from 1 species